rnacentral:rRNA from 1 species
GACGAACGCUGGCGGCGUGCUUAACACAUGCAAGUCGAACGCUGAAGCUCAGCUUUUGUUGGGUGGAUGAGUGGCGAACGGGUGAGUAACACGUGAGUAACCUGCCUCCUUCUUUGGGAUAACGCCCGGAAACGGGUGCUAAUACUGGAUAUUCACUGGUCUUCGCAUGGGGGUUGGUGGAAAGGGUUUUUCUGGUGGGGGAUGGGCUCGCUGCCUAUCAGCUUGUUGGUGGGGUUAUGGCCUACCGAAGCUUUGACGGGUAGCCGGCCUGAGAGGGUGAACGGUAACAUUGAGACUGAGCUGCGGCCCAGACUCCUCCGGGGGGCAGCAGUGGGGACUAUUGCCCAAUGGGUGCAAGACUGAUGCCGCGUCGCCGCGUGAGGGAUGGAGGCCUUCGAGUUGUGAACCUCUUUCGCUCAUGGUCAAGCCGCAACAAUGGUUGUGGUGAGGGUAGUGGGUAAAGAAGCGCCGGCUAACUACGUG